CCUACGGGAGGCAGCAGUGGGGAAUUUUGGACAAUGGGCGCAAGCCUGAUCCAGCAAUGCCGCGUGAGUGAAGAAGGCCUUCGGGUUGUAAAGCUCUUUCAGUUGAGAAGAAAGAAUUCUGGUUAAUACCUGGAAUUUAUGACGGUAUCGACAGAAGAAGCACCGGCUAACUACGUGCCAGCAGCCGCGGUAAUACGUAGGGUGCAAGCGUUAAUCGGAAUUACUGGGCGUAAAGGGUGCGCAGGUGGUUUUGUAAGUCAGAUGUGAAAUCCCCGGGCUUAACCUGGGAAUUGCGUUUGAAACUACAAGACUAGAGUGUGGCAGAGGGGGGUGGAAUUCCAUGUGUAGCAGUGAAAUGCGUAGAUAUAUGGAGGAACAUCGAUGGCGAAGGCAGCCCCCUGGGUUAACACUGACACUCAUGCACGAAAGCGUGGGGAGCAAACAGGAUUAGAUACCCGGGUAGUC
rnacentral:rRNA from 1 species